AUCACGGAGAGUUUGAUCCUGGCUCAGAACGAACGCUGGCGGCGUGUCUUAAGCAUGCAAGUCGAACGGGAACCUAGAGCUUGCUUUAGGGGACAGUGGCGAACGGGUGAGUAACACGUGGGUAAUCUGCCCUCGGAUGGGGGAUAGCCCUAGGAAACUAGGGAUAAUACCGCAUAAUGCCGACCUGUCAUAAGACAGGGUGGUUAAAGGUGCCCUCUGCAUAUGGUGCCGUCUGAGGAUGAGCCCGCGGCCUAUUAGCUUGUUGGUAGGGUAAUAGCCUACCAAGGCGACGAUGGGUAGCCGGCCUGAGAGGGUGUACGGCCACAUUGGGACUGAGAUACGGCCCAGACUCCUACGGGAGGCAGCAGCUAAGAAUAUUCCGCAAUGGGCG
rfam:Spirochaetes bacterium DG_61 WOR1_52_54_6632, whole genome shotgun sequence.